rnacentral:rRNA from 1 species
UGACGCAGCAACGCCGCGUGAGUGAUGAAGGCCUUCGGGUUGUAAAACUCUUUUGUCGGGGAAGAACCAUGACGGUACCCGGCGAAUAAGCCACGGCUAACUACGUGCCAGCAGCCGCGGUAAGACGUAGGUGGCGAGCGUUAUCCGGAUUUACUGGGCGUAAAGCGUACGUAGGCGGCGCUGUCAGUCUGCUGUGAAAUCUCUCGGCUCAACCGGGAGCGGCCAGUGGAAACUGCAGCGCUGGAGGGGCGUAGAGGCAAGCGGAAUUCCCGGAGUAGUGGUGGAAUGCGUAGAUACCGGGAGGAACACCAGUGGCGCAAGCGGCUUGCCAGGCGCAUCCUGACGCUGAGGUACGAAAGCGUGGGUAGCGAACCGGAUUAGAUACCCGGGUAGUCCACGCCGUAAACGAUGGAUGCUAGUCGUGGGAGGUAUCGACCCCCUCUGUGACGCAGCUAACGCAAUAAGCAUCCCGCCUGGGGAGUACGGCCGCAAGGCUAAAACUCAA